AAUGACCUUUCAGGGUCCCUUCCAGUUCUAUGAGAUAGGUAUAGCUCCAUAUAUUAUAUUAUUAAUUGGCUGAUGAUUACAAAUCAAGACUGUCAGCACUUUGCCACUUAUCUAUCAACUAGAUUUCCCACUGUUUAAGAUUUGGGAAACUGAUAAUCUAGAAAUGUCAUAGGACUAAGUUAAACUUUCUACAGCUGGUAUAUAUUCUGAUUCACUAAACUAGUCCAAUAUUCAGGUUGUAAAUUGUAUUAAUACUGUUAUGCUGGGGGUUGAGGAAUCACAUUGAAGCUCUUGGGCACGACAGCUGCCUUCUAUUCUGGCUAAAUGAGGGAACAUUUAAGUGCCCCCUUAUUUAGUGAUAGCUGAAACAAUGGAAAUCCACCGUCCAAGGAUUAGGCCACGUGCUAGCCUGGGCUGUGCAGUCCAAGGGGUUCCCCGGAGGUCCCAUGACAAAUGCAGUAGUAGAGGAUUGAUUGGAUUGCAGAUGUGUGUUUGGGUGUGUGAGACAAACGGCAGAAAUGCCAGAGAAUACACAGGGCAAAUACACAGAGAGGGCAGGGAGGAAGUCAUGACACAGCCAGAAACGCACUUGUAGAGUGAUAUUAAUAAAAGUGGAGAGAGAAAACUUUUGGGAAAAGCAAUAGCUGAAAAGAGGCUUGGGACUGUGUGCAAAAAGACUGUCUCCUGUUGUUUGAUUUGAACUGUGUUCAGGGAUAUAGGACUUUGUAUAUUCUUCGUAGAUAAACAGGAUUGCAUCAAAGAAAUACCUGACUCCAUCAUCAACUCCUCCUCCUAAUGGAAACAAUCCACAAGAUCCCAGAUUUGGCCAGCUGCUAAGGUCAAAAAGUAGUAACAAUACUAUAACAAUAUUUUAAAAGCUAAAGCUGUAGUGUCACUUCUGAGUGAAAAUUGAAAACUUCUGAAGAAAAAAAAGACGGGAGGGUCUGACGGGAACUGUGUGACCUUAAAAGAACAUCAAGCUACAAUUCUACUCUGGUGCUCCUGGAAAGUGUGUGUGUGUAGGAGGGAGAGAAAUGGAGAACCAUUCUCCCCUACAAAGAGUUCUCUAUACCAAAAAUGGUUUGGAUUUUGAAACGGAAACAAACUUUUUGAUUUCAAAUUAAUUGAAAAUUAGAAACUUCGGUGGAAAAUGUUGAAUGCAACAAAACGUUUAAUUUCUUUUGGUGGGGGGGAAGAGGAGAAUGUUUUUAAGGACAAUACCUUUUUUUCAGACUGGUUCUAACUGGGAUUCAUAUCUGGAUGAGCAGGGAAGGUGAUCUACCACGACAGACAACUUUUGCAGAAUGCUGCCAUAGUAUCAUUUGGGAUGCUACUUGAUUUUAAGUCUAUUUGAACAGACAGAAGUUUUUUUUACUAUAAUCCAGGAAAAUUAUUUUGCUAAGUAAACUGUCCUGGUUUCAUACAUUCCCUAUGAUUGUCAGUACUAAUAAAAAGGCUAAACAAAGGGAUUCAUCACCAAUGCAAAUAAAAUAUUAACUGCAAAGAAGAGAGAGAAAAUGUAAGAGAUGCAUUUUCAUUAGGUAAUUGGGGAAGACUCUGGCCUCUUUCAGUCUGCAUAUCCUGCAAAGAUCUUACUGUUUAUUUCUCUUAUAUCCUUUAUGUUGGAUAAGAUAUAAUGGAUACUGGAUCUGGAUAGUGGCUUUCCUUCAGUUUCUGAGGCACCUGUCAUGUUGUGUGAUGCCACUUUACAUUUGUUAAAAUAACAUUGCAAGACAUAACAUAAUGCAAUGCAAAAUGAAGCGUUAUAAAUGUGACAUGGCGUGUCUAAAACAAUUCUUGCUUUUAGUGGAUCAGUUAUCCUUUAAAAGCUGGUAUUUAGGAUUGUCCUUAGAUAAUUCAAUAGCUCCACAUCUCUUGUAGGAGCGAUGUCAACCUGAGUUACCAUUUCUGCUUAACAGAGAUGAUGGGAGAAGAUGGCAUGAAAAGGGAUGAAAGGAAAACAGAUUCUGAAUACAUAUCCUGGAGCACUUUUUCAAGCAAGUGAUCAAGGAAAGUUUUUGGGGCCAAGCUCUACAGCCCUGUAAGAAACAGUAACCAUCAGAGAACAGCUGGGCUCUGAGAUUAAAAACAAACAAACACCAAAACAAACUGGAUUGAGGAGAGUUCUUCCUUGGAAUCAGGAGCCUAAAAGACCUUGGAUUUCACAGCCACAGGAAAUAAUACCUGGGAAGAAAUACCUGCCUGUUCAGCUGACUAAAACAAAUGGCUUCCUCAUGAUGAAAAAUAUUGUGCAAGAAGGAGGACUGAUAUACUCCGAAAAAUGUUAUCAUCCACUCCCGGAGUAUGGUCAACUGGCUGUGAAGCUCACAAACAAAGGACUCAGUUUUGGAUCCAAACACUUGUCUCCCUAUUAUUUUUUAAAUGCUGAUGAACUAUUUUCUGUUUUCCCUGUAUAUCAUGUCAGCCUACAGUUUCAUGCACUGCAAUGAAACAUACUUUAGCUUGUGUUACCUUAAAUCAGGGGUCGGCAACCUUUCAGAAGUGGUGUGCCGAGUCUUCAUUUAUUCACUCUAAUUUAGGGUUUCGCG